CUGUAAAUGCACUGUUGUGGAAGUCCUGCACCCUGUGGCAUACUUCUGUCACAGAGCUUUGAAAGAAAAGCUUGUGCAAAAGCCAAAACAGUAGCGUUGUUGCUGAUGCUGUUGGUGCUGGAGUUGCAUAGGUGCCAGAGAGGAUGGCUGGGAAGGAGGUGUAGUGGCGAAGCCUUGGUUUAACACUGCUUGUCCCAUCAGUACAAUUGGAGAGCUGCUGCUGGAAGUCUGCACUUCCAAACUUUGAAACAUUUGUUGGGUUUGAGAGUAUCUGUGGAAGAAAGAAGCAAAAUGAUCAAGAACAAACUGCUGGAAGCAAAGGUGUUCUCUUAGGAUAGGGAUGGAAGUCCUUAGUCUUAAUAAAUAAUUCCUAAGAAAGGAUUUCAGUGCACGGGACGUGCUAAUAUGAAUGAUGGCACUGUUGGUAGCACUGCUUUCCCUUAAUCUGUGCAUGAGCUGGACUUGGAGGGCAGAAUACACCUCACCUCAAAAUCCAGACUCAUUAAAGAUUCUGGUUUCUGCAUGUCUUCUCUUCAGCCACAGCACUCACAUCCCAGGCUCAUUAAACCAAGUGGCCUUUGAUUCUGUAUUAAUAUGCUGAGCUCUGAACGGCAGCAAGAGAGAAGUAAACACCCCUCCCAUUCUGUUGCCUGUGCUUCCCUCUGACUGCCUGUAGGGUAGUAAUCUCUUGCAGAAAGAAGGGUAGGGUUGAUUACUUUUUAAGCUGCUCAUAUACCUAUUGCCAAGUACGGCCACCAGUUCCCAUUGCUGUGAGCCCCACUGUAGGAACAGAAGAAGCCGCUAAAAGUCCUCUGGAGUGAGAGAUGGGACAGAAACAAAAUCCUCGGCUCCUCUUGCCAGUGUGCUUUUUGCAUAGUAAAACUUAAAUAUGUGUUGUGUGGAAGGCUGUGGACAAAACUACAAUGGAGCUAUUGCCAAGACAGCUUAACUCUGUUUAUCCUGUAAUGGGUGAUGAGAUCAUAGUGUGGCGUGUGUUCACUCAACAGCUGUUCAGCAUUAGGGGUUAGUCAGAAAUGCUACGAGUUUGGGUACUUGUACUAAGAUGUGAACUCCUAAAAAAGCAUCCUGUGAGUCGGGAAGUCUACACGAAGUGGAAGAUGUCUCUGCAAAUCAGAGCUGUAUUAUUUAGAUGCAUAAAAGCAGAUGUAAAAUGCUGUAUAUUUCAAGUUGACAAAUUAAACUCAAGAUAAUCUUAAACAGCAAUAGUGAUUUUUAAAUAAAGAAGUACUGAAUACCUCCA